rnacentral:rRNA from 1 species
GACGAACGCUGGCGGCGUGCUUAACACAUGCAAGUCGAACGGAAAGGCCAUGCUUUUGUGGCGUGCUCGAGUGGCGAACGGGUGAGUAACACGUGAGUAACCUGCCCCUGACUUUGGGAUAACUUCAGGAGACUGGGGCUAAUACCGGGUAGGAGCUCCUGAUGCAUGGUGGUGGUUGGAAAGAUUCGGCGGUUGGGGAUGGACUCGCGGUUUAUCAGCUGGUUUGUGAGGUAGGGGCUUACCAAGGCUUUGACGGGUAGCCGGCCUGAGAGGGUGAACGGCCACAUGGGGACUGAGAGACGGCCCAGACUCCUACGGGAGGCAGCAGGCGGGAAUAUUGCACAAUGGGGGCAAGCCUGAUGCAGCAACGCCGCGUGCGGGAUGACGGCUUUCGGGUUGUAAACCGAUUUGGCCGGUGACGAAGCGUGAGUGACGGUAAUGGGUAAAGAAGCACCGGCUAACUACGUG